rnacentral:rRNA from 1 species
GACGAACGCUGGCGGCGUGCUUAACACAUGCAAGUCGAGCGGAGCGGCGAACGGGUGAGUAACGCGUGAGUAACUGCCCCCCUCUCUGGGAUAACAGUUGGAAACGGAUGCUAAUACCGGAUAGUGGGGGAUGACUCGCGUCCUAUCCGCUUGUUGGUGGGGUAGUGGCCUACCAAGGCGACGACGGGACGCCGGCCUGGGAGGGCGACCGGCCACAUUGGGCUUAGGUACGGCCCAGACUCCUACGGGAGACAGCGGUGGGGAAUAUUUCGCAAUGGGGGAAACCCGGAUGCAGCAACGCCGCGUGCGGAAUGUCGGCCUUCGGGUGGGAAACCGAUUUCAGCCAUGACGCGGUAGUGGCAGAAGAAGCACCGGCUAACUACGUGCCAGCAGCCGCGGUAAUUC